rnacentral:tRNA from 1 species
GAAAAAUUCUAUUCUUAGAAAACCAUUACCUAAUACUAUUUUAGCAGAACGAGUAGUUUUAGGUAAU